rnacentral:lncRNA from 1 species
AUGUGCACACUCAGCUCCUGCGAGCUGUGGGAGCCCGCAGCACCCCCUAGAGGGAGCCAUGCGAAGGCCUGGAGAGUGAGCAGUAGAGGCCGAAGAAAGAGCAAGUGCAAAGGCCCUGAGGCAGGAGUAAGCAUGUUGCGUUCAAAACACAGAGAGGAGGUCAGCCAGGUCUUACUGAGCAAGCUUAGAGGGUCCCGCGGGGAAGAGGCUGGGCUCCGUGCGCCUGUGGGCCUUAGGAAGGAAUCCGGGUCAUCCAAGUCUUUGAACCCCCAGAUGGCAAUGGCCGCAUACUGGGGCGGGGUGGCGCUGCCAGCGAUACCAGUGACCAGGGCAGCAGCGCAUGGAGCGCGACGGGCACUGCACGGAGGAGUCCUUGCCCGUGGCUCUGACCCGACAGGUGCAGUGCUCGACACCGGCCCCCGCCCCCGCCCCCGGCCUGCCCUCCCGGGGUCUGAUGGUCUGUAUACUGUUGAAGAGGGUCGAAGACUCCAACGGGGAAAAAAAUCCUGUGGUGACACGUGUGCUCACGGCCACCGUCCGCUUGUGGAUGUCACCGGGCGGCAGCUGAGGAUGCGCGUCCGCUUGCCCUGCGUAGCAGGGCGGCGAGAGGCAGAGGAGCCGCGGGGUGGGCGGUCCUGGGCCUGUCCCAUCCCCAUCCCAGCAGCCGGGUCACAGGGCCAGGAGGGGACCCGCAGGAGGGCACGGCGGCAGCAGCCAGCUCCCAGCAGAGAACGAGCCCGGUCCGCGGCGACCCUCCUGCUGUCCUGGGGCGCAGCGCGCAGGGAGCCGACCUCGAAGCCGCAGAAGAUUUCAGCCACGGCUCCUCUUUUUCUUUUUUCUAAAGAUUUUAUUUAUUUAUUUAUUCAUGAGAGACCCAGAGAGAGAGAGAGGCAGAGACACAGGCAGAGGGAAAAGCAGGCUCCCUGCGGGGAGCCCGAUGCGGGACUCGAUCCCCGGACCCCGGGGUCACGCCCUGGGCCGAAGGCAGAUCCCCAACUGCUGAGCCACCCAAGGCUGCUUCUUUAUUCAUCAGGCUUUUCAAAAGAUGUGCCCCCCUUGCCCUCGGGGCACGGGUAUAUAAUUUAA